GCCACAUCUAGGCCGCGGAGCGCAGUCGAUAGUUUUGGCCCCAUGCGACGAUUCGGUUUU
rnacentral:misc_RNA from 1 species